rnacentral:rRNA from 1 species
UGGGGAAUAUUGCACAAUGGGCGCAAGCCUGAUGCAGCCAUGCCGCGUGUAUGAAGAAGGCCUUCGGGUUGUAAAGCACUUUCAGCGGGGAGGAAGGCGAUAAGGUUAAUAACCUUGUCGAUUGACGUUACCCGCAGAAGAAGCACCGGCUAACUCCGUGCCAGCAGCCGCGGUAAUACGGAGGGUGCAAGCGUUAAUCGGAAUUACUGGGCGUAAAGCGCACGCAGGCGGUCUGUCAAGUCGGAUGUGAAAUCCCCGGGCUCAACCUGGGAACUGCAGUCGAAAAUGGAAGGCUAGAGUCUUGUAGAGGGGGGUAGAAUUCCAGGUGUAGCGGUGAAAUGCGUAGAGAUCUGGAGGAAUACCGGUGGCGAAGGCGGGCCCCUGGACAAAGACUGACGCUCAGGUGCGAAAGCGUGGGGAGCAAACAGG